UUGCGGUGGUGCUGGUCUGAUUGGUGUCAAUGGUGUGGCCACGGCCGCGUGCACACCGCAGAGGCGCAGAACAUCACGCUGUCGUUCGCGUGCCGCCAUGGUAGCAUGCUUCCUCUGCUGAAACUUUAUUGCGAGGAGUUGGACAAGAUCUUCUUUGUGAGCCUCAAAGAUAAGAGCAAGCUGGUGCCGGGACAACAUCGUCCCAGCACCCUUAAUCCUCUAUGGUGGUGGGCGUGUGCGACUCCCAGCACGGACGCAAGGAUAACAUCGUAGAAAACAUAAAGGUAGCACCAAUAUAAGAAUUAUAGGGUUGGGAUAGUCUUAGUUAUGUGGACAACAAAAAAAACUAUGUGGACAAUUGGCCUUUGUGGAGGAAGAGAGGUACUGUGAAUUGCUCCUGUCAAUUGUUAAAUUGGAGUAUCUGUUACACAUCC